GAUGAACGCUGGCGGCAUGCCUAACACAUGCAAGUCGAGGGAUAAGCCCUUUCGUUGUCAGGAACCGGCGGACGGGUGCGUAACGCGUAUGCAACCUACCUGUCACAUGGGGAUAUCCCGAGGAUAUUUGGAUUAAUACCUCAUUAUAUCGUUGUAUGGCAUCAUUUUAUAAUGAAAACUGCGGUGGUGAAAGAGGUUCAUUCGGCCUCGUAGCUAGUGGGAGUGGUAACGGCACCCCAAGGCUACGAUAGGACGGGGUCCUGAGAGGGAGAGCCCCCACGGUGGUAGUGAGACAGGGAACAGACUCAUACGGGAGGCAGCAGUGAGGAAUAGUGGUAAAGGGUCGGAAGAGUGACCGCGCCACGCCGCGUGCAGGAAGAAUGUCUUAUGGGUGGUCAUCUGCCGUUAUAUGAGCAGAAUAAGGUGUACGGGUACGGUGAUGACGGUACCAGAUGAAUAAGCACCGGCUAACUCCGUG
rnacentral:rRNA from 1 species